rnacentral:lncRNA from 1 species
CCCCCCUUUACAAAAUGCUGUGCUAAGUGUCUCAUGGGGUUGGCCCAUGCUGGGAUCAUGUGACUGGAGGCCUCCUGAUGUUAAAUGGACUUCUAACGAGAAUUAUUGAAUGUUCUAGAAAAGAAACUACUAAAAUGGGGAGAACAUUUUUUUUUUUUUAACACAGGCCUACAAUUGGAUCCAUUGAAAUCCAAAACUACUGGACAAUGGACUCAUUGUAUUCCUCAAGGAUUGCCUUUCCCUCGGCAUUCGCCACAAAAGACAACAUUGAGGACGACCUUGACACAGAAGACCAGAUUCUUCAGUGUUGCAGAACGAUGCUGCGCUGACCACCAGAGAUUCACAGAAGGAUACCUCAUGGACACCACCACCUCAUUGCUCUGUCCAUGUAGCGGCCUCUCUGCUGGACGACUGUCUGCGGUGUAUUGGCGGCCGAGGCCUGUGUGCUCUCAUACCCUGUUGGACUGGAUCACAGCUGGACAUGGGAUGGUCUCAGAGGGGAGCAGACGGUAGAGGAGAGCCUCCCAGAAACCAGCUUUGUCCCAGUCCUGGGCUGAGGGUGAGAUGGAACCCAGCUGACUAAGGUCUCAACCAGGAGUUAACACACACCUUGUGAACAUGGACUCUCAAAAUGACUGAACAUAUACAACUAUGCUCAUGCACACACACACACACACACACACACACACAACUGGUUGGCAAGUUUCAACUCCUGGAUAUAAAUAGUCAAUGAUUAAUUCCUCUUUACUCAUUUUUGUUUGGUUAUUUGAAACUUUUUGGUUUUACUUGCCUUAAAUGUACAGAAUUAAAUUGCCCAUGUGUGAUGUCCCCUUCCCCACCAUCCCUAAGUAAUGCUUGACCUGGUGAAGUGUAUCCAAUGAUUUCUGGCGUUGGGUUGUUUUGGGACAACAUUUGCCCUUCUAACUGAGCAGUAAAAUUGCAGUAAUUGGGAUUAAAGUGAGUGCUGUAAAAAUGUAAAUAUAAUGUUAAAGCUAUUAGAGCAAUGUCUGUCAUGCAGAAUUGGUUCAUUCGUUUUGGGGGAAAUGUUAUGGGAUUUGACUCUUCUGCUACUCUACCACAGCAGCAUUUGAGAUGGGGAGGGGGGGGGGAAAUUGUGUAUAUAGUUUUCCUUUUGAAUAGACGUGUUACAGAAUAAAUAAACUGUGUGGAAUGCAAUAUGAAUGUGUUGUCAUAACUUCGCUAUUACAUAUUGUUUUAAAGGGAAGACCGACUAACAGGACGUCCUUUCCCGACGAUUCCACAUGUUGAAUUGCCACUGUUCGUCGACGCUCAGCUGUGAUCUACUGCGCACGUCCGACGUUCUUGGUGGUCGGUCUUACCUCUUACGUAUUACCAAAGACUGUACAAUAUGUGAUAUUACACUGCCUGCGGUUUUACAUGUUGCCCACGUGGGGGCAUGGUAGGUUCAGUUUUGUUGUCCUAUACUCUGCACUCUACUCCGCUCUCUUUUCUGCUUUUCCAAUCAUGAAACUACUAGAAAUUAGUUGCUGAAUUGUUAUAUUAUAAAUGAAUAGCAUCUGUUACAGAAUAACGGCUGGGGGAGCUACAAGCUUGUUACUGCACAUCUUGCAUUUCUUAACCAAC